UCCCCAAAGCCCCAGUGAAUGGUUAUAUAUCCUAGUUGUACACACCUAAGAGAGGACUGUCUGGGUCAGAUGUCUCUAAGCGUCAGGAAUCCGAGUGGAGCUUAGCUGGUGUGGCUGGCAGCAUUGGCCCAUCCGAGCUUGAGGCCGCUUUGGAGUAGUGCCGGAUACGGGAAAACUGGAGAGAAGAAGGAAUAAGAGAGCAGAGGGCUGGAAAAGGGGACAGAAGGAAAGACGAGUUAAGGGACUGGAAAGAAUCAGUGUUUGGAAGAAGGCGGUUGUUGCUAAACCACUUUUCAGGCUGUACUUCUGCUGGAUGGAGGAGCUUCAAUCGUCUUGAUCAAUGCGCCUGUAUCAGGCUUUGAACAGGAGCUAUAGAUAUGUUAGUUCAUUUACUCAAUCCUGCAACAGUCCCACCUCCCAGAUUUAGAAACUGAGAUCUGAAAAGUUAAGUAAGACUUGGCCAAGACCAUAUACCUGAGAUGGCUUUCCUCCCCCAGAGCCUGUGACCUUUCACGAUGGUACCCGAGUAUAUUCCUGUGUUACUCUGCUUCCGACUCUGCCUCACAGCAUCCUUUGCCUCCUGGGUCCGUGAGACGUCUUCUAGGAAGUUCUAGUGGACAGUAAGAAAGACAAAUCCUCUGGUCUCCCUGGUCUCUAGUUAUGGCAGCCUGCGUUCUCUUUGAAGACUGAGCUGUGUUACGGAACUCCCUCCUCCCCCGACUCUAACAGGCUUAGUGGCCUCUGUGAGGUCUGCCUCAAUCAGUGAAAGGACAGUAGGUCUCUGCUUCUGGCUGCCUCCGUGAAUGAUUUCUGCCCCGUAGUGGAAGAGUCACUGGUGGCUCGGCCUGAGAUGUCCUCUACCUGGUCAGCAUCCUCUGAUGUAACACCCCUAGACACAGUGAAUCUUGGAUAUGAAGCUGCUUCGAGUUUGAGCUUCACGUAGUGAGUGGUUUGGGCAGGUCCACUGUCCCUCCAGCCUCAGUUCCUUCAGCUGUUGAACUGAGGAGGAAGAGGUGGCUGAAUUAGUGGUUCUUUCUCCAUGGAAGUGAAGACUGAGAAGUAUGCUCCAGUCCGUAGGAGCUCUAGGCAUUGUCUAUGGAUUAAAUAGUUUGUCCGUCUUGCGUAUAUACACAUGACUACAUUUCAAAUGUGUGUAAAGCUGUGUGAGAAAUA